CCUACGGGGGCUGCAGUGGGGAAUAUUGGACAAUGGGCGAAAGCCUGAUCCAGCCAUGCCGCGUGUGUGAAGAAGGCCUUCGGGUUGUAAAGCACUUUCAGUGGGGAAGAAAGCCUUGGGGCUAAUACCCUCGAGGAAGGACAUCACCCACAGAAGAAGCACCGGCUAACUCCGUGCCAGCAGCCGCGGUAAUACGGAGGGUGCGGGCGUUAAUCGGAAUUACUGGGGGUAAAGCGCGCGUAGGCGGUCUGAUAAGCCGGUUGUGAAAGCCCCGGGCUCAACCUGGGAACGGCAUCCGGAACUGUCAGGCUAGAGUGCAGGAGAGGAAGGUAGAAUUCCCGGUGUAGCGGUGAAAUGCGUAGAGAUCGGGAGGAAUACCAGUGGCGAAGGCGGCCUUCUGGACUGACACUGACGCUGAGGUGCGAAAGCGUGGGUAGCAAACAGGAUUAGAUACCCUAGUAGUC
rnacentral:rRNA from 1 species